GCGCAAGUUGGUCACACCUUUCUUGAAUAAUCUAAAUAGUCUCAGUUGGCAGGGGAAAACCAGAAUGAGAUCAGGGAGACCAAGGAAAGGAAGUAAUUUCAAGAAGUAAGAGGAAGUCAUCAGGAUCAAAUAUACUAACAAUGUUGAAGAAAUGAAAGAAAAACUUCCAAUGGACUUGAGAGAGCAUAAGCAAGGGAGCAGCAGGAAGAUGGAGAAGCAGGUUCCUCACUGA
rnacentral:lncRNA from 1 species